rnacentral:rRNA from 1 species
GAUUAACGCUGGCGGCGUGCAUAACACAUGCAAGUCGAACGAAGUGGCGGACGGGUGAGUAACGCGUGAGUAACCUGCCUUAGAGAAGGGGAUAGCCUUUGGAACCGAAGAAUAAUACCCUAUGCUCUAAGAUGGACUUGCGUCUGAUUAGUUAGUUGGUGGGGUAACGGCUCACCAAGACAGCGAUCAGUAGCCGGCUUGAGAGAGGGUACGGCCACAUGGGGACUGAGACACGGCCCAGACUCUACGGGAGGCAGCAGUGGGGAAUUUUGCACAAUGGGGGAAACCCUGAUGCAGCGACGCCGCGUGAUUUAGAAGGCCUUCGGGUUGUAAAAAUCUUUUCUAUGGGAAGCAGUACCAUAGGAAUAAGGACCGGCUAAUUACGUGCCAGCAGCCGCGGUAAUAC